GUCUAUGGCCAUCCUACCCUGAAGGUGCCUGAUCUCAUCUGAUCUCUGAAGCUAUGCAGGGUCGGGCCUGGUCAGUACUUGGAUGGGAGACAGUUAAAUCUCAGCUCCCUUCCCCAGAGUUAUGAAAGCAAUCAGCA
rnacentral:rRNA from 1 species